rnacentral:rRNA from 1 species
AUUGAACGCUGGCGGCAGGCCUAACACAUGCAAGUCGAGCGGAGCGGCGGACGGGUGCGUAAUGCCUAGGAAUCUGCCUGGUAGUGGGGGAUAACGUCCGGAAACGGGCGCUAAUACCGCAUAUUAUCAGAUUAGCCUCGGUCGGAUUAGCUAGUGGGUGGGGUAAAGGCCUACCAUGGCGACGAUCCGUACCGGGUCUGAGAGGAUGAUCAGUCACACGGGAACGGAGAAACGGUCCAGACUCCUACGGGAGGCAGCAGUGGGGAAUAUUGGACAAUGGGCGAAAGCCUGAUCCAGCCAUGCCGCGUGUGUGAAGAAGGUCUUCGGAUGGUAAAGCACUUUAAGUUGGGAGGCGUUACCAACAGAAUAAGCACCGGCUAACUUCGUGCCAGCCGCCGCGGUAAUUC